rnacentral:RNase_P_RNA from 1 species
CAAAUGGCCGCGCCAUUUCAGACGAAAGGGAAAUGGUGAGGAAAGUCCGGGCUUCACAGGGCAGGAUGCCGGAUAACGUCCGGUAGGGGUGACCCUCAAGCCAGUGCAACAGAAAUAAACCGCCGGCUUAUGCCGGUAAGGGUGGAAAGGUAAGGUAAGAGCUUACCGCCUGUCUGGUAACAGACAGGGCACAUGUAAACCCCAUCCGAAGCAAGACCGAAUAGAAAACGAUAAAUUGGCCCGAUUUGUUUUCAGGUGGGUCGCUGGAGCCUGCUGGCAACAGCAGGUCGAGAUAGAUGGCCAUUCAACGACAGAACCCGGCUUAUCGGCUGUCUG